GGGGAAUAUUGCACAAUGGGCGAAAGCCUGAUGCAGCGACGCCGCGUGAGCGAAGAAGGCCUUCGGGUCGUAAAGCUCUGUCCUAUGGGACGAUAAUGACGGUACCAUAGGAGGAAGCCCCGGCUAACUACGUGCCAGCAGCCGCGGUAAUACGUAGGGGGCAAGCGUUGUCCGGAAUGACUGGGCGUAAAGGGUACGUAGGCGGUUAUGUAAGUCAGGUGUGAAAGGCUAGGGCUCAACCCUAGUAAGCACUUGAAACUGCGUAACUUGAGUCGAGGAGAGGAAAGUGGAAUUCCUGGUGUAGCGGUGAAAUGCGUAGAUAUCAGGAGGAAUACCAGUGGCGAAGGCGACUUUCUGGCCUUGGACUGACGCUGAGGUACGAAAGCGUGGGGAGCAAAC
rnacentral:rRNA from 1 species